CAAUGAGGAGGGCUUCGAGUUACCACGGGGUCUGCUAUCUCUACAGUCAGACUCUUCUUCUCUUCGCUUAAGCUAGAUGUCGAAAAGUAUGCAGCGCAUUAUGGGCUAGGCUUUAAUUAGCGUUAUUGUGUCCGUUGCGCAGCUCCUAUACGCUUUCGAAUUGAACUUCAGAGUGGGUCCGAGGCACAGCUGCCUACAGCUUUAAAGGCGCCCAUUGGUUGUUUAGCUAAGAUCAUUGGCCGCAUGAGGCUAGUGUGCCUGUAUUGAUUUCUCCUAAGUGUUGACAAACGCACUACUUGUGCUUUGCAGUUUGAGUCUGCCUCAGUCGGAUGCAUAGAGAAGCGUUUUUUUGUUCAACGUCAUUUCAAGUUUGAUCAAUAUCGUCCUGCUGGUCCAAUUGGAGGAGCUGUAUUCACAAUCUGAUCCGCCACUCGCACCACCACCAUCUUUAGGAGAAGUCCUUUCUUUUGCCCACAGUUGCAGAAAAAUUGCUCGGCAGCCCGGCGUGCACCUCAAUGAACCUAACUGGUGCACUGUGAGCGCAGAGCAUUGAUCUGGAGGGGUUUUGCGCCUGCUACUGCGUAUGUUUUGGUUUAAACAGUUCCUUUUUAGGGGUUGCUUUUAAAAGCUCGGAGAAAAAUGGCACAAAGCGUGUUCCUUUUUUUACUGUGGCUUUUCGGCAGCUCCCUCGCAGGCUUUCCUAAUCAGAUAAACAUAGGGGGGCUCUUCAUGCGGUCGACGGUGCAGGAGCACAGCGCUUUCAGAUUUGCCGUACAGCUCUACAACACCAACCAAAACAUGACCGAGAAGCCUUUCCAUCUGAAUUACAACGUAGAUAACCUCGAGUCUUCCAACAGCUUCGCUGUUACCCAUGCGUUCUGCUCCCAGUUCUCCAGAGGCGUGUAUGCCAUCUUUGGCUUCUACGACAAGAAGUCCAUGAACACGCUGACCUCCUUCUGUGGGGCCCUGCACACCUCCUUCAUCACACCCAGUUACCCCAUCGACUCCGACGUGCAGUUUGUCAUCCAGAUGCGCCCGGCGCUCAAGGGGGCUGUGCUUAGCCUCCUCUCCCGGUACAAGUGGCAGAAGUUUGUCUACCUCUACGACACAGACAGAGGGUACUCAAUACUUCAAGCAAUCAUGGAGGCAGCUGUGGCUAACAACUGGCAGGUGACGGCACGGUCCGUUGGGAGCAUCACCGACCCCCUGGAGUUCAAGCGCAUCAUCGAGGAAAUGGACAGGAGACAGGAGAAGCGCUACCUGAUCGACUGUGAAGUGGACCGGAUCAACGUCAUCCUGGAACAGGUUGUGACCCUGGGGAAGAAUAGCCGAGGCUACCAUUACAUUAUUGCCAAUCUGGGCUUCUCCAAUGUGAGCUUGGACAAGGUUGCUCUCGGUGGAGCGAACAUAAGUGGGUUCCAGAUAAUCAAUCCGGAGAACCCCAUCGUACAGCAGUUCCUCCAGCGCUGGGACCGGCUAGAUGAAAGAGAAUUCCCAGAGGCCAGGAACACGCCUCUGAAGUACACCUCUGCGCUCUCCUACGAUGCCAUCCUGGUGAUCGCUGAAGCCUUCCGCUACCUGCGGAGGCAGCGGGUGGACGUGUCGCGGCGGGGCAGCGCGGGCGACUGCCUGGCUAACCCGGCGGUGCCCUGGAGCCAAGGCAUCGACAUUGAGCGAGCCCUCAAAACGGUCCAAGUUCAAGGUAUGACUGGAAAUAUCCAGUUUGACAGCUUCGGUCGAAGAUCAAACUAUACCAUUGACGUGUAUGAGAUGAAAUCAGGUGGGCCAAGGAAGAUCGGGUACUGGAACGAGUUUGAGCGCUUUGUAUCUAUAAUGGACCCGCAGGUCACCAACGACUCCUCCCCAGUGGAAAACCGAACAAUUGUGGUCACUACUAUUAUGGAAGCCCCGUAUGUGAUGUACAAGAAAAACCAUGAUCGUCUGGAGGGGAAUGAAAAGUAUGAAGGCUACUGUGUCGAUUUAGCUUCUGAGAUUGCUAAACAUGUGGGCAUUAAGUACCAGCUGUCCAUAGUGAUGGACGGCAAGUAUGGCGCCAGGGACCCCGAGACCAAGACGUGGAACGGGAUGGUGGGUGAACUUGUCUAUGGGAGGGCAGAUAUAGCCGUCGCGCCACUGACUAUCACCCUGGUGCGCGAGGAAGUCAUAGACUUUUCCAAACCGUUCAUGAGCCUGGGCAUCUCCAUCAUGAUCAAGAAGCCGCAGAAGUCCAAGCCUGGCGUCUUCUCCUUCCUCGAUCCUCUGGCCUACGAGAUCUGGAUGUGCAUCGUUUUCGCCUACAUUGGCGUGAGCGUGGUGUUGUUCCUCGUGAGUCGCUUCAGCCCCUAUGAGUGGCACCUGGACGAGCAGGACGAGACCAAAGACCCACAGACGCCUCCCGACCCGCCCAACGACUUUGGGAUCUUCAACAGCCUGUGGUUCUCCCUGGGGGCCUUCAUGCAGCAGGGCUGCGAUAUCUCUCCAAGGUCCUUGUCAGGGAGAAUUGUUGGAGGCGUCUGGUGGUUUUUCACUCUCAUCAUAAUCUCGUCCUACACGGCCAACCUUGCUGCUUUCCUCACUGUGGAGCGAAUGGUCUCCCCCAUUGAGAGCGCAGAGGAUCUCGCCAAACAAACAGAGAUUGCCUAUGGAACUCUGGAUUCAGGCUCCACAAAAGAGUUCUUUAGGCGCUCUAAAAUAGCCGUGUAUGAGAAAAUGUGGUCAUACAUGAAAUCUGCUGAGCCCUCUGUCUUUGCCAAGACAACACCUGAUGGGGUGGCGCGGGUACGAAAGUCGAAGGGCAAGUUCGCCUUUCUUCUCGAAUCCACCAUGAACGAGUACAUUGAGCAGCGGAAGCCCUGCGACACCAUGAAAGUGGGCGGAAACCUCGACUCUAAGGGCUAUGGGGUGGCGACCCCCAAAGGCUCAGCAUUAAGAAAUGCUGUUAACCUGGCAGUUUUAAAACUGAAUGAGCAAGGCCUCUUGGACAAAUUGAAAAACAAAUGGUGGUACGACAAGGGAGAGUGCGGCAGCGGGGGAGGUGACUCCAAGGUCAGCCUCAAUGUCACCAAAAUCGGGUACCAUAGUGCAGAGUAAUCGGCAAGGCUGUUAUGUCUGAACUGAAUACCAAGGGCCACGCCUGCCGCCCAAGGCGGCGUUUUGAGAGCGUGCUUAUUGCAUAUCUACCCAUUUAAGAUCCAACCAAGAACCCUGACUCGGCUAACGGAGGGAGAAAAGGACCAGUGAGAUUUUGUCUGCCUGAGGAGAUUGUAGCAAAUGCUGUUGCAUCAGCUCUAAUAAGAAGUAGCGUGGCUUAGGAGAGAAAGGGAGUGAGAAAGAGAGGGAGUGAGAGGGAGAGAGUGAGUGAGUGAGAGAGAGAGACCACCUCAAUUUCUGGGGCAAAUGCUGAGCAUUCAGCUGGAAAUGAGAGAGAGGGAGCUGUCAGGUGAAUGAGCAGUGGCUGCCCUGCAGAGAGGCAAAGGGAGACAUGGCGUUAGCGCUUCCUUUACCUUCUGCAGGGGAGCUGAACACUGAUGGAACAAGACUUCACCAGUAAGACAAACCACACUGUCUGGGGCUCUCCCCCGGCUCAAAGGGCCGCAGCCGAGUAUCGCAGCUCCACAGCAGGACAGGUAAUGGAGGAAAUCAUCAGAAUUUCAAAUACUGCAGAAGGAAACGUAUAUUCCGCAAAUAUAUUUCUUAGUUAAAUUUGUAAAGACAGGAGAAAUGGGAAGGGGUUUUUUUGGGGGCAGCCAAAUGCUUAAGGUGCAGAUUGGUUUUAGACAGCCUCAGUCCUGGAGUUUUCCGGAGACUGGCUCGCCACGUAACGAGGCCUUGGACUGCUCCUCGGAGUGAGCCGUGUGCAGAGCAGCCGGCCCGCGGCAGUCCAGUCAGGCGAGGCGAACAGCGGAGUCUUGAGGGGACUAAGCAUUGCAGGAAAACGUGAGAAUUCUAAUCCAAGCGGCUGUCACUGGCAGUCAAUUAAACUACCCAUUCAUCAGUGUGAAAAAUCAAAGUCCUUCAUUUGAUUCCACACCAAUCAGGAGGGAAAAAAGCCCUGUUGAAGUAAUGUCAAUGUAAGGGGAAUUUCCUCUGAUAGCACUGUAUGUGUUACCUGGCACCUGCAGUUGGUGAGGGAAAAUCAUAUUAAAAUGGCAUCUUCAAUGGCCAUGUCUGUGGAACUUUAAGAAGUUUCCAUUCGAUCACUUGAGUAUAAUCAAGUAAGAGCAAUGUCGAGAGGAAUGCUGUCUUUAUUUUUUGACUUUUUUUGUAGGACAGUUGUGGUAAGUUCUCUCAGUUUUCUUCUUUUUCCCAGAGCUCCACAGCACCCAUCCUCACACAUGUGGGACCUCACAUUUCCAGGAUGAAAAUGGGAGUGCAGGCCAAACAUUAGCAGAGAGAGAGGUCAACAGCAGUGUCUUCACAGUCAAAGAAACAUACACGUAGCUGAAGUGUUUGGGAAACAAAGGAACCCAUUCUUUCAGCAUAUUGAUGCUGAUGCCUAUUUUGUCCAUUGAUUUUUGCAAUACCUGUAUAUUAAAUUAUAUUAUAUUACGAUAAAUUAUAUUAUAUUAUACUAUGGAAGGUAUAAUAUAUAGAGAGACUUGGCAGUGUAGAAUAGAAUAGUAUUGUCAAUGUCAUCUAUCUGGUGCACAGUCAGGAGCAUCAAUAUAUUUCCUGGUGCAGCACCCUCAUUAAAUCUCAAAUGUACAACAUGUAACCAAUCAACAUAACUCGUGAGCUUUGAUUGGUCAGUGAGUCACAGAAGGCAUCAGCAAUUAAAUUUUAUUGAUCUUCAUUGAUGGAUCACAAAAAGCUCGCACAUUUUACCUCCACUCCUUAUGGCAGAAUGCUCAAUAACAUGCCACUCUGCGGAGCCAUAAAUCUUUAUUUUUGCACAGCUUCCCAACAAGUCAGUCAUGGCUAAAGAGAAAAUAAACAAGUAAAUAAAUACAUUAUGAAACGACUGCACACAAACGCCUAAUUUCCUCCUGAAAAUGGGGUCUGGGCAUAUUCCUACCCUAGCAAACAGUGCACUCAGCAUGUAGCUAUUCCUUUUCCCUCUCCCCUCCGACGCAGAGGCUGGCCUGGCCAGACCUCCGUGCCUCCUGACCGAGGGGGUAGCACCCGGCAGCCGGCAGACAGGGUGAAGGUUUUGUGGGCUUUCAUAAUCACAUGCUCUGUUCCAGCUCUCUCUCUCUCUCUCUCUCUCUCUCUCUCUCUCUCUCUCUGUUGUUGCUUUUUCCCCCUCCUAGUUUUGCAGUGAGAUCAAGCCUACCUUGGCCUCUGUGCGCAGUCCGUGGGCAGCCUGUACAUGAGCCUGGUGCUUUCAGGUUGCGGCGGCUCUUCUGGACCCAGCCAAAACAAAACAAAAAAAAACAAAGCCAGCUCUGUGUGUUGUGUGGGGGCUACGAGCUAAAGAAGGGAAGAGACAAAGAAAGAGAGCCAAGCUACCUGUGUGUGAGAAAAAAAACAGCCUCUCAACUCCAAAGCCCCCUCUCUCUUCACUUUGCCUUUAGGCAGCCUGCUUCCCUCCUCCAGAUGGUUCCUCUCACUCCACUCACACUUAACACUUAAAGGAUAAUUACAUUGUUAAUCAAUGUCUCCCCGGGCAAAAACAAAGAAAUUAAGUUAAACCACGUAGAGCAAGUGGCCAUUGAGGAGGGGGGGAGGCAAUUUUCAGCCAGCAGAUCCAUACGUAUCCAGAAAGAUUUACCGUCUAAUUUGCCGCCUCACAAUUUCUUUGCUGACAUUUGAAACAGGGCACAAUUCCUUGUCAAUAAAAUCAUUUACAAGAAUUAAUUCCUGGAGCAGACAUAAAGUGAUAGCGACAUUAGAAGAGAAGAGUGUAUUCUUUACAAAGUAGCUUAUCUUAUUCGCAUAGCAUUCUGGUCUGGCCCUUUCAUCAGCAGACACAUUAUUUACAGAACAUUUGGCUUAGAUCUGUCAGUAACAUUUGUCUUAGAUUUUAGGAAUCUGUCAGGAUUACUGAAAAAGAUAUUCCACCUGUCACUUCAGACAGGCAGUAUCCUCUUACAGGAGAAGUAUGCUAUGAUGCUAGCUUAACAUCAUUGUAUAUGCAGUGACCCCCCCUCCCCCCUUUCCCCUCCCUCCUCCCCUAAAAAAGUACAACUCUCCUCAGCAAAAUAGAACUGGUGUUUCUUUUCUUUGCUUGUCUGUCAGUCAGUAGAGGGUUCCUGUUAGAUCACUCGUCGGAGGUCAUAUGGUUACCUGUGACACCCACGAAUGCAUUUCCUUUGCUUUUAUAGAUUUGCAGGUUGUGUCUUCAGUACCUGCCUGUUCCUGUUAACAGUGUAUGCCGAUUACUCAAAGCGAUAUGGGUAGGCCCUGGCACAUUAGCUUAGCUAUGGUGAAUAGAAGGUAAUAGCUAGUUUGCCUGCAGUUUGUGAUGUUGAAAUGGCCAGGAGCCCUGCUUUAUCGCUUUGUAAAGUAUGAAGUAGCUAAGACUUGAAUAACAUAAAAUAACAUAAUAUAAUGUUAUUUAUGUUAUUUCCCACGUGAAGAACUCCUGUAAACCUUGCAGUAUUGAAACUCAGUGAACAAGGCAUCUUAGCCAAGCUGAAAAACAAAUGGUGGUACGAUAAGGGUGAAUGUGGAACCAAGGACUCUGGAAGUAAGGACAAGACAAGUGCACUCAGCCUGAGCAAUGUA